CACCCAGGAAAAUUCCGGAGCCUGUCUGCCGCCUGCCUGGGCUGUUCUGGCUCCCGCCUGCUCCUCUCCUGCACUCUCCUAUUUAUCUCCGAGCCCGGAGAGUCCAGCAGAAACGGUGUAGGGGAAAACCAGGUUAGCCUGCGUCUUUAGGAAGCGGAAAGGCGGUAUCCGGAUUCAGACAGAAAAGACUCAGCACAGAAGCCGGGGGAAAGAAAACUCAUUUGGGCAAGGACUGAGUCAUAAAUCCUGAUUCCACGUCCUGAAAACCAGGACGGAGAGGGGGACAAAGUGGAAGGAAGGGUCUGAGAGAGGUCAGAGCUGGCACACAGGUGUGUGUGGUGCGGACACUGAUGGGCAGGCGAGCCGCACGCGGACGAGUGGUAUCUCAUGCCUGCACCCAGCAUGGAUGGGUCCCUACAGAUAGAGACAGAUGCACACCCACGUGAGCACACACACGCACGCACGCACGCACGCACACGCACGGGGAUUAGGGUCCUGCCGAGAAACAAACUUCAGAGAGAUGGUUCCUGGGAAGUGGCUUUGGGAAUUCUCUCGAAUGAACGUUCCCGGACUAAGUGAGGUCCCCCAGGAUGCUUCUCUUCUCCUUGCCCACCACCCUGAUCUCUAAGCAAAGCCAACAGGUGUCGGAUAGAAGGCAGAGAGGAAGGCGGGACGAGCCAGCCAGGGUGGGGAGUCACGUUCUUGGCUCGCUUUCACUCUUCUCCGUUUUUCUCUCUCUGGGGCCUAUGGUCUCUAUCCCUGCUCUUCCGCCACAGUUUCUCUUCCUUCCUCAUCUGCUAAGUCAUCUCUUUGAGUUUUUCAGGGGUAGCGGCUCCCCCUCAUUCUCUGGUGCCUCUUCUCCUUGCCUUUGAGAUAGCAGUAGCCUCUAGAGAGAACAUCUGUGCGCCCUGAGGGUGUUUGCACACUUUCUCCCCAGGCCAGCUAGAGAAACAGACGCUGGCCGGGAAGUCUGGUGUGAAAUCCCUCCCUCUCUCCCUCUCCCUCUCCUUUCUCCUCCCUCUCCUCUGCGUCCCCGGAUAAAACGAGAAACCAGCAGCUCGGUAAAAGUAGCGUAGACUUUAAUUCAGGUUGACAGGUGUGAAGGGAGCUGGGACUUGCCCCCCGGGGGGUCCAGAUGAGAAGGCCGUCUUACCGAGAGAGGCAGGGAGGGCAGGGGCGUGCGGGUGGUCUGGUGGUAGAACAGGGCCAGGAGCAGGGGCGUGGCCACACCGUGGAGUAUCGCCAGGGCCUCUGCCAGGUGCAGGAGCAGGUCCAGAGCCUGCUGGGCCAGACACGUCGACAGUACCAAGGACUUGGACCUCACAAGAAAGUCCAACCCCAGAGCCACCCCGUGAGGCCACCAGAAAACAAACCAGACCCACAGGACACUAACGCAGGGACCUGGCCACCUGCCCCACGCUUUCGUCAGCGCCUUGGUACCUAACAAGCCCAGUGGCAACAAGGUGAAGGCGGUAAAGCUGGCCACCACGUGCAAAAGCGGCAGAAACCUGGGGCUCUUGUUGAAGCUCAGGGAGCAGAGUCCACGGGAGGUGUCACUGGCCAGCGUGACGGGCAGCCCCAGGAGAAGAGCCCCUCCCCAGAGUCCCACAGUGAGCCACAGGGUGAUGCCCGCGACGUGGCCCACAUCCAGUUUGGGGCCCAGGCAGGCGUGGCACCCGAUCAGCAGAGCCUGGGCAAAGGCUGAGCCGUACCAGAGCAAGUGUGCCAGGCGGCACAGGGCUGUGCUCUGCACCCCGUUGAGCCCCGGGGCCAGGAUGGGCACCACG